AUUAUGUCUUAAAACAAAACAAAAACGAACAUAAAGGGCAGCAUUUAACAUGAAAAUAGUAUCCUGACCCUCCUUGGACUAAAUAUUGUUAAUCAAGUUUAAAUUUAGCUCCCACGAAGUCUCAAAAGAAAAGGAGACAGCCAGGUCCGGCGAGGAAAAACUUCCGAGUGCCUCUAAGGCAGGGAAAACAAGCCUCAAGUCAACAAAGGGCAGGCAGCCUGUAAAAACAAAUGGUGCUGAUGAGAAGGCUGGGGCCCCAGAAAGCUCAUUAGCAAUCAGAUGCAGCCACGGAGCUGUCUCCUUCCAGUCUACCGGCCAAUGACACCAUAGAGCCUGUGACUCAGCGGCCCGACUGCCCGGCUGCACUCCUGAGACAUCUCCGCCUGCUCAGGCGACUCCCAAGACCCUGGGAGACCUGGAUACUGAAGGGGAGGAGGCAGGAAGCCAGGAAACACCACAGAAGAAGUGAAGAAAAGCAAAGCUAUUGUCCUUAUCUACCCACUGAUAACCAAUAGUGAGGGAUGGGGAGAGGCAGCUGCUAGGCUUCCAGGUGAGAAGUACCGGGCUUCACAAUUGAGAAUCAGAGUGAAAAGGAGGAACUGGCCUUUAUUGAGUAUCGACUAUUAUCAGUCAUUCUUGGAUAAGAAAGGGGAAGCUGAUGGCAAAAGGAUGAGGAGUGUCACCUAAGACUACUGUAUACUGCAGACCAGGCAGAGUUAGGGACCCCUCCGUAUUGAUGGCAGUGGUGGCAAUCUGGACCUAUGAAGCCAGCAGGAACUGAGAACAAAAGGAAGCCCCACUCCCUUCCAAGUUGGAGUGGCAGGAGCCUCACCCUCCCAGACACAGCUGCAGCCACCCAGCCGAGGCUGCUGACCCAGGCACCUCUGCAUUCUUGGGGGCCUGGGAUGCCCCCUGCCCCGGCAGGCUCAAAAGUGCCUGCUCCCACUGCCUCAUCGAUCCCCACUCCUGGAGCCUGCUCUGAUUUUGGAGCAAAGUUGUGGCUGAGCCUGGGCAUUAUCACAACCCAGUUGGGUGGGCACAAAUUCAGGGCAAUGCUGACAUGCCAUCCCCCGGCCACUUCAGCCCCUUCCAGACUUUGGGUGCUGAUGAGCACUGGAAAGAGGCCAAGGGGGAGCUAAGGGUAGCUCAGCAACGGCCUGCAGGCACCCCUCACCAUGAACAGCCUGAGCACCAUGACACCAUGGACAUUAUGGAUGACAGGAUAACAGAGCCAGGAGGCAGACAGGCUCCUGUGCAAAAAAGGGGUGGGUACCCAGUGGAACCCCACCUUCAGGCCAGGGAUGGCCUGAGGCCCAGAGGCCAGGCUGCCAGUUCUGUGGAAUGGAGUGAGAACUUGUGAUAUUUCCAGGCCUGCGCAUGGCUGCCUAUGGAUCAGUCAGCACACACUUACUCCCCUCUGAAGCCUGUAAAAACCCUAGACUCAGCCAGACUCAGGCAGAUGAUGGGACAACCUCCCUGCAGAGAGAAGCUACCCACUGGGGAUCUCCUCUCUGCUGAGAAAUGGACACUUCAUUGAGCCGACCUGCCUGCAGGGAGGAGCUACCCACUUUGUGUCUCUUCUGCGCUGUUUUGUCACUUAAUAAAACACCUCUUCACCUU